rfam:Camelus ferus unplaced genomic scaffold scaffold951, whole genome shotgun sequence.
GAGGGUAUGGCUCAGUGGUAGAGUGCGUGCAUGCACGAGGUCCUGAGUUCAAUCCCCAGUACCUACA